rnacentral:rRNA from 1 species
GAUGAACGCUGGCGGCGUGCCUAAUACAUGCAAGUCGAGCGAACGGACGAGAAGCUUGCUUCUCUGAUGUUAGCGGCGGACGGGUGAGUAACACGUGGAUAACCUACCUAUAAGACUGGGAUAACUUCGGGAAACCGUAGCUAAUACCGGAUAAUAUUUUGAACCGCAUGGUUCAAAAGUGAAAGACGGUCUUGCUGUCACUUAUAGAUGGAUCCGCGCUGCAUUAGCUAGUUGGUAAGGUAACGGCUUACCAAGGCAACGAUGCAUAGCCGACCUGAGAGGGUGAUCGGCCACACUGGAACUGAGACACGGUCCAGACUCCUACGGGAGGCAGCAGUAGGGAAUCUUCCGCAAUGGGCGAAAGCCUGACGGGGCAACGCCGCGUGAGUGAUGAAGGUCUUCGGAUCGUAAAACUCUGUUAUUAUGGAAGAACAUAUGUGUAAGUAACUGUGCACAUCUUGACGGUACCUAAUCAGAAAGCCACGGCUAACUACGUG